UGGUAAUGACCAAGCAGCUGCUUCCACUAAUCUGCUGCAAGGGGAGUUAGGGGGUCUCUGCCAUGCUAUGCUGUGCCGUUAGCAUAAGCUAGGUAGUGACCACAUUCCUCAAGUGACUGUAAUUCCUGGUCUUGUGCUUUGCAGACUGUGUUCCAGGGCUAGGUCCUGUGUGCUCAGCACCUGGUACAAUGCUUGGAGAGCAAAUGGAAAUAGUGCAAAAUGAUGAGAGACCAUCCAAGGGUGUUGUGUUUGGACUUGAGCCAAUGACUUGUCUAUACAUGGAGUUACCCUAGAAUAAUUACUCAGGAAAAAGUAGCCUGGAUUAACUCCAUGGGAGCAGAGUAUUGUUCCAGAAGGAGUUAUUUGGAGUACCAACAUAUUUGAGUGCUCUGUCUCAAUUGCUCUUCUCUCACUUUCUCUGCAAUCUCUUGAGUAAGAAAAGAAGCUUCUCUCUUCAUGAUCUGGAUGUCAAUAGAAAAGAACAAGGAUAACGUCAUGCUGCUUGGCACUUGUGAGGUUUUAAAGGCUUGCAUCUUCUUCCCUAAACCAAAGCACUAAACCAAAAUUCUGUUAAAAAUAGCCCCAAACCUCCCUCUUGGGUGGAUGAAGUGCACUAAGGUAUGCUAGCAAAUACCCUUCUGGAGUUAUGGGUGCAAUAAGCAUGAGAUAAAAAGAUCUGGGCUCCAAACCCACAUCUUGUUUUCAAACCAUUAAAAGGUAGGGGUAAGGAAUUCUCAGAUGUGUUCAGAGAUAGGAAAUGCUGGAGGAGGCUCCUGUAGUCUUGAGACUUCUGCCCUCAUGUGCUGUCUUGAAAAGUCUGGAAAACAGAGAUACAUAUGCACUG